GCGCAAUUGGUUUGACCGCCGCGGAGGCGUGGCGUAACCCCAAAACCAAUCUCCGUCGAUUCCGCCCUAUUACAAGACGUCGACAGCAAGCAACAUCGAUCUCGAUCCGCUCCCCUCGUCCGAUGACCUCAUCGAAUCGCCGUCCUCCUCGCGACACCAGCCAUCGGUUAGCUGUGGUAACUGGGAAAUUUCCUUCGGUUAUGCGAGAAUUCUGAUCACAGAUUUCCACCUCAAGGUCACCAUGUAAAAAAUGCAUGGAAGAAAAGGAUGAAACUAAUUCGGGUGGUGGAGGCCAAAUGCAGUUUUUGAACAGAUCGCAGGUUAAGCAUCCAGACGAUAACUCCAAGUCUGAAGGAAUAGAAGUGGAUCGGAUCGAAAUUAGCAAAGCUCAAGUUGCUGUUUACUUUAAUGCUUGUGAAGGUUCAAAGAACAUGCAUACGUAGCAGAAUCAUCAGUGUGGGUUAGACCACCUAAUUGCUUAUUCUGUGAAGAACUUUUCAGAAAUUUCUGUAUGUUCUAAGGUUGAUCAUGAUAUGUUAAAAUAUAUCAUGUUUGAAUCCAGAUUGCAUUGACCAGCACAAGUCUGCAGAUCUUGAUAUAUCUAUAUCCUUAGCGAAAUCAGCAGAUGUGUAAGAGAAUACAUUGAAGGGAGAUUUCUUGAAGCAAGGUUAGAGGUAGACAAGAUGGUCUGAGAGCCUCAAGAGGUUCAAUUGUUGGUGGAAUAAGGCAAUGAAAAGAAGCAAGUGAUAUGCACCAGAUAUCAACUUGACACAUUCUUUGGUUCUUUUGGAAGGUACUCUGAAGUCUGAAGAGCAAAGGAUGAUGAUUUGGCUUGUCUCUCACUCUGGUGGGAAGGCAGCAUCCCUUGGACAUUAUUUAUGGCGGAGGAUAGCCUCUUAUUCAUCGAUGGCAUCCUUCACCUGAGAGCUGAAUUGACCAUCAAGCAGGCUUCCACAAUGUCAUUGCAGUCUAAGUAUUGCUUAGCCUUCUGUUUGAUAACUGGCAUUCUAUGACCCCUGGAUAUCGGUGUAGAGAUUCUCUGAUGCCGUAUGGGCGCUUAGCAUGAACAGAUUUUUGGAAGGAAAGGUGUGUUCUUGGAUCCUCUUGCCUUUCUUACACGAAGUGCGAAAGCUCAGUCUGGGAGCUCGAAGCUAAAUACAUCUUUGCUUAAUGUAAUUGCACUCAUACCUGUUGAUAUCGAUACCAAACAAAAUAUGAAACAUGACAAACCAUCAGAUUUUGCUAUGUACAGGCAGCAGUCUUUCAGUUUUGUAGAUGAUUUCUUCUGUAACUAAAUAUUGAUAUCAGCCUGAACUGUUUUCCCAUCAUCACCUUGAAAAUCUAUAUGUUUUUGACAACUGAGGGUUUGAAAUUCAAUGAAAACAAUUGUCUGAUU